UCCAAUCGAACUCGGAGAUAGCUGGUUCUCCUCGAAAUAGCUUUAGGGCUAGCCUUGAGGUAAAGUCUAAUGGAGGUAAAGCACUGAUUGGACGCGGGUCCCCAAAAGGAUACCAACUUCUAUCAAACUCAGAAUGCCAUAUAGAUAUACUCAGGAGUCAGACUAUGUGAGAUAAGUUUCAUAGUCAAAAGGGAAAGAGCCCAGACCGACAGCUAAGGUCCCAAAGUGUGUGUUAAGUGGAAAAGGAUGUUAGGUUUCUAAGACAACUAGGAUGUUGGCUCAGAAGCAGCCACUCAUUUAAAGAGUGCGUAACAGCUCACUAGUCGAGAGGUCUAGCGCCGAAAAUGUCCGGGGCUAAAACACACCACCGAAGCUACGGAAUUACCUAUGGUAAUUGGUAGAGGAGCAUUCUGUAAGGACGAAGCACAAUUGAAAGAGAGUGUGGACGAAACAGAAGAGAGAAUGCCGGAAUGAGUAGCGAGAUAUAUGUGAGAAUCAUAUAGGUCGAAUGUCUAAGGUUUCCUGGGUAAAGCUGAUCUGCUCAGGGUAAGUCGGGACCUAAGGUGAGGGCGAGAGCCGUAAUCGAUGGACAACAGGUAGAAAUUCCUGUACUACGUAUAAUCAGAACUGUGGGGACGCAGGAGGAUAGGAAAACCGGAGAAUGGAAAUAUCCGGCUAAGUACAAAGGUGUGAGUGAUAGGCAAAUCCGUCACUAUAAGCUGAAGUACGAAUGGGAGCGAAGAAAAGUAGCGAAGUUUCUGAAUCCACACUGUCAAGAAAAGCCGCUAUUGCGUUAUACGUACCCGUACCGCAAACCGACACAGGUAGACGAGGAGAAAAUCCACAGACCGACGGGAGAAGUGUUGUUAAGGAACUCGGCAAAAUGACCCCGUAACUUAGGGAUAAGGGGAGCCAACGCAAGUUGGUCACAGAAAAGAGGCUCAAGCGACUGUUUAGCAAAAACAUAGGUCUAUGCGAAACCGUAAGGUGAUGUAUAUGGGCUGACACCUGCCCGGUGCUGGAAGGUCAAAAGGAGAGGUUAGCGUAAGCGAAGCUUUGAAUUCAAGCCCCAGUAAACGGCGGCCGUAACUAUAACGGUCCUAAGGUAGCGAAAUUCCUUGUCAGGUAAGUUCUGACCCGCACGAAAGGCGUAAUGAUUUGUGCACUGUCUCGACAACACGCCCGGUGAAAUUGAAGAACCAGUGAAGAUACUGGUUACCCGCAACAGGACGGAAAGACCCCAUGGAGCUUUACUGCAGCUUAAUAUUGGGAUUCGGUAUUGUAUGUACAGGAUAGGAGGGAGACUAAGAAGCUAGCACGCCAGUGUUGGUGGAGUCGAUGGUGGGAUACCUCUCUUAUAAUACUGAAUUUCUAACCUACUUCCGUGAUCCGGAAGAGGGACAUUGUUAGGCGGGCAGUUUGACUGGGGCGGUCGCCUCCGAAAGAGUAACGGAGGCGCUCAAAGGUCUUCUCAGAAUGAUUGGAAACCAUUCAAAGAGUGUAAAGGCAAAAGAAGGCUUGACUGCGAGAGUGACAACUCGAGCAGGUACGAAAGUAGGACUUAGUGAUCCGGUGGUAACAAGUGGGAGUGCCAUCGCUUAACGGAUAAAAGCUACCCUGGGGAUAACAGGCUUAUCUCCCCCAAGAGUUCACAUCGACGGGGAGGUUUGGCACCUCGAUGUCGGCUCAUCGCAUCCUGGGGCUGAAGUAGGUCCCAAGGGUUGGGCUGUUCGCCCAUUAAAGCGGUACGCGAGCUGGGUUCAGAACGUCGUGAGACAGUUCGGUCCCUAUCCGUUGUGGGCGCAGGAAAUUUGAGAGGAGCUGUCCUUAGUACGAGAGGACCGGGAUGGACGUACCUCUGGUGUACCGGUUGCAGACCAACUGCACAGCCGGGUAGCUAUGUAUGGAACGGAUAAACGCUGAAGGCAUCUAAGCGUGAAGCCGCCCUCAAGAUAAGAUUUCCCAUUCUUCGGAAGUAAGAUCCCUUAAAGAUAAUGAGGUUGAUAGGUUGGAGGUGUAAGCAUGGUAACAUGUUCAGCUGACCAAUACUAAUAGAUCGAGGGCUUGACCAA
rnacentral:rRNA from 1 species